CAGGGGAAAAAAAGAAAUAUAGUGACGAGGAAAGAGAUUCAAAGGGAAAUGCAGUAGGCCGUCCUAAAGAAGAAAAGGAGGAGGAUGAGGAAAACCCCGGUGUCUUUAAUUUACUGAAGCCGCCAAAGGAGAAACCAAAGGACGAACGAAAGGGGAAAAAGCAUUAGGAAAUAUGCUUGUCAUUCUACAAAUUUGGAAAACGUUAAAAAAAGGCAGUUUAAAAAACAGAAUAAAUCAGAUAUCUAUAAAUAAUAUUUAUCAUACAUGUAUGAUGAAGCGUUUUUCGCCAAAUAAACAUUUAUAUGGAAUUAAGGUACUUGUCUUUACUGAAAAAAUUAAUUAGAUAGAGGUGUUAUUAUUAGAACAUUUAUGCGAACGUGUAGAAUUUUUACUCUUUAUUUAAGUUUCUGAGGUAUCAGAAUUCUAAAGUCUGAAAGUUUUAAUGAAAUAGAAUUUAGAACAACGAAGUGGCGAAAUACCUUUAUCUCUUCUUUUCAUAUCAAUAUGAUGACUGCAAAUUUAAAAAAUGGUGGUUUUGAACAAUACUACUUAAAAUGUUUAAAUUUAUAUUCUUUCUUCUAUUUUCAAUUUAUUUGUGAUAUUCCAAAAACCAAUAUACGGAAAAGAUUAUGAUCAUGACUUUGAAUGUAAAGAAUACGAAACACCAUUCUGAAGAAUAAAUCGUUUAUUCAUGUACUCUAAAAAUAAACGAUACAAUAAAUUUUAAACUGUCA